rnacentral:rRNA from 1 species
CCUGGUGGUUAUAGAGAGAGGGCCAUACCUGUUCCCAUUCCGAACACAGAAGUCAAGCCUCUCAUCGCCGAUGGUACUGCAUGGGUAGCUAUGUGGGAGAGUAGGACGCCGCCGGGG